rnacentral:misc_RNA from 1 species
AAAAUACCAAGAAUCACGAAUUUAGCGAGACCCCAUUUAUAGAAAAAGUUGAUUUUUAGUGGUUUAAAGUAAGUUUAACCAAAUGGGUAUAUGAAGAAAGCAAGAUUUAACGAGAACCCAUUACCAAGAACUUGAAAAGGAAUGAUUUUAACAAUGAAUUAGCCAAAGGGGUACCAAAGAAAGUAGCUUUUCACUCUUACAUUACCUAGAAUUAGAACCCUUGAAGAAAAAUUAGUUAUUUGAGCAGAGCAAUAACCAGUUUACAUGAGUCAAUAGAAGAAAAUGAAUAGGAAGUCUAACAAAAUGUAGCAAGAAAACUCAAUGCAGAUAUGGAGGAGUAAUGGGUGAGUUGCUGAUGGAAGUAAGCUUCUCUAUGGUUGAG